rnacentral:rRNA from 1 species
UUUUAUUAAAAAUCGUUAAUAAUAAAAUCUGCUCAAUGAUUAAUUAAAUAGCCGCAAUUGUGCUAAGGUAGCAUAAUCAUUUGUCUUUUAAUUGAAGACCAGUACAAAAGAUUUAACAUUUUAAACAAUUUCUUUAUUUUCUCUUUUAAAAUUUUCUUAAAAGUAAAAAAACUUUUAUUAAUAAGAAAGACGACAAGACCCUAUUGAACUUAACUUAAGUUAUACUGGGGCAGUUCAUCAAUUAUUAUUUUAAUUAUAAUAAUAUAUUAAAUAUCCAAUUAAUUGAUAAUUUAGUUACCAUAGGGAUAACAGCGCAAUAAUAUAUUUAAGCUCUUAUAAAAUAUAUAGAUUACGACCUCGAUGUUGAAUAAUAUUCUUCUUAAAGCAAAAUUUAAAAAAGAAAGUCUGUUCGACUUUUAAAUAAUUACA